AUGGCGACAAGAUCGCGCUGCUGCCGUGGGCUUCGCCGCCGGCGUCAGGCACCGACUGCGCGCUGUCCGGUGAGCCCACGGACCCCGGCGGCUGCACGGUGGUCGUUCUCGAGCGGUAUAGAUCGGGCUUGGAUGAAACGGCCAUGUGGUACUGCCACGCCGUCGCCGUGGGCCAGGUACGUGUACGACCUGGGCGGCGUGCGGACCCCGUGGGGCAAAUUCGCGAAGCGGUUCGUGUCUGGCCUCGCGGCGUGCGGCGGCAAGUUCUAUUGGUCGGUCAGGGCGGCUGAGUACGGCGUGCUCGAGUUCUCACCGGAGCCGACCUUGACAACCAUGAUGAUGAAGGAGGCGAUCGAGGUCAUCGUCCCGCCUGGGGAGGAGUACGCGCAGGCGUUCGCCUACUCGCUGGACCUUGAUGGCGAGGUGCAUAUGGUGUGGAUCUUCACCUCCGCCCAAACCGGAGCCAUAGUUGACAUCGCCGUCUACAUGGUGGAUCUCGAGGGCAAGAGGUUUAUCAGGGUGGACAGCAUCGGCGACCGGGCCAUCCUCGCCGGCGGCUUGAGCUAUGCUUUCGCAGGCUGGUGCCCGGCCAACGAGUUUGGGCUGCUGCCCAACAGCGUGUACUGGAUACACCCCUAUGAUGGCCGCAUGUGCGUGUACGAAGUUGGAUUCAAUACGGAAGAAGUACGCGAGCUCGGUGAGGUUGCCCGGGAGUCACCGCCGUUCUGGAUAGUUCCCGCACACCCAUGA
rnacentral:rRNA from 1 species